UUUUGGUCUGAUCGUCAGAUAAGUAAAAGGGUUCACUUGUGAUUGUAAGCAUUUUAUGGGCCACUUCUUCUGCUCUGCAAUUCAAUCUGAUGCUUAUUGCUGUCAAUCCAAGGUGUAAUCUCAAAAUCUGCUGGAUGUUCAGACAUAUGGUUUACCAUGUGAAGACAAUUCAAGUAAAUAUCUGGUCAGAGGAACUCUACCAUGCUACAUUGGGUAUUCUCCCCAUACCAUCAUCUAGAGAAAUUUCACUCUCAUGAAUCUCUUUCAUAGAAGAUGACAGCUCAGUGGAAAUAGGAGGUGCUCAUUGAAAUCUGCCAUCUCGUUCAGCAGACCUGCAACCUCAGAGGAGGCCAAGAAUAGUGUAACCAUUGACUUUGAAGGCGACUGUGAAUUUCUUCAUAUUGGGAUCAUUACAGUAUUGAGCAGACAACAUCUGUUAGUUGGUCAUUGACUGCUGUGUAAGGGCGGUGACUGACAUUCUUGUGUCAGAAGUGACCAUUCAGACAGUUAAUUCAGACCAAAGAGAAGCAGCCAGAGCAUAUAUAUGUGAGGUUGCUGAUUAUUCUUGGUGCCAUCGACUGCACAUAUAUGCCUUUGUAGAUGUUAAAUGCAAAGAUUCACAAGAAAACCAAAGAGUUUCACUACCUGACUGUGCAAUUGUGUAAUUAUGUUCUUUAAAACCUGUAAGUGAAUGCCAACUAUCUUGACUGCCCUCAUGAUGUUUUAGUUCAGCAUUUGAGGUAUAAUUUGUCAAAGCAGUGGCUGGAACUUGGGCCAAAGGUGAUCCACUGUCCACCUGGCUCAAGACUCAGGUGUGUAGCUCAACCACGCAUGGUCAGAAUGUAAAAUGAGAGCCAUGUAGCCACAUAAACAGGAUGGAUUAAUGGUUCCACUGUCUUAUCUUCUUUGGAGCAGUACCAGUGGAACUUGAGACAGCGGUCAUCACAUACUUUGUCAUGAUACAGUACAUAAUUCUCAUGGAGUUUGCCACCAUUUCUAUUUUAGAAAGAAAGAAUUUUACAGUCUGCACAAAAUCCAAUGUCAAAUUGGUGCCACACUCUCCUGAACUGCUUGACAAUAAGAGUAGGCUUUCUGGUAGAUCUGCCAAAGCAUCAAGUAUUUUUUGAGCACAUCCAUCAUC